UGAAUACUCCCUCCGUUUCGAAUUACUUGUCGCAAGUAUGAAUGUAUGGAGAUGUAUUUUAGUUCUAGAUAUAUCCAUUUCCGCGACGAGUAAUUUGGAACGGAGGGAGCAGAAA
rnacentral:pre_miRNA from 1 species